GAUGAACGCUGGCGGCGUGCCUAACACAUGCAAGUCGAACGGGAGGGCGGACGGGUGAGUAACACGUGGGCAACCUGGCUCAUAGAGGGGGAUAACAGAGAGAAAUUUCUGCUAAUACCGCAUACUAUGAGAUGGACCCGCGUCUGAUUAGCCAGUUGGCAGGGUAAGAGCCUACCAAAGCGACGAUCAGUAGCCGAUCUGAGAGGAUGAACGGCCACAUUGGGACUGAGACACGGCCCAAACUCCUACGGGAGGCAGCAGUGGGGGAUAUUGCACAAUGGGGGGAACCCUGAUGCAGCGACGCCGCGUGAGUGAAGAAGUAUUUCGGUAUGUAAAGCUCUAUCAGCAGGGAAGCAGUACCUGAAUAAGAAGCCCCGGCUAACUACGUGCCAGCAGCCGCGGUAAUUC
rnacentral:rRNA from 1 species